rnacentral:tRNA from 1 species
GGGGGUAUAGCUCAGCUGGGAGAGCGCUACAAUGGCAUUGUAGAGGCCAGCGGUUCGAUCCCGCUUACCUCCA